rnacentral:rRNA from 1 species
GACGAAGGAUGCAAGCGUUAUCCGGAUUCAUUGGGUUUAAAGGGAGCGUAGGUGGCCUUAUAAGUCAGUGGUGAAAUCUCUGGGCUUAACCCAGAAAUUGCCAUUGAUACUGUAGGGCUUGAGUAUAGAUGCCGUUGGCGGAAUAUGACAUGUAGUGGUGAAAUACAUAGAGAUGUCAUAGAACACCGAUUGCGAAGGCAGCUAACGAAACUAUAACUGACACUGAGACGCGAAAGCGUGGGGAGCGAACAGG